UCCCUCAGGAUGAAUAGAGACCAGAAAUCAGAUGUUUAUGCCUGAGAAAAGCAGGAUUUCAUCCAGCACUUCUCUGAGAUUGUCAGGAUGCUGACUGAGGAUGAGAUGGGGCACCCAGAGACAGGAGAUGCUAUUGCCCGGCUUAAGGAGGUCAGUACCACCGGGGUGUGAUGGUGCUGGUAGCAUUUCGGGAGCUGAUGGAACCAAGGAAACAGGAUGCUGAUAGUCUCCAACGCGCCCUGACUGUGGGCUGGUGUGUGGAACGGCUGCAAGCUUUCUUCUUGGUAGCAGAUGACAUCAUGGAUUCAUGUCUCACCCAGCGAGGGAAGAUCUGCUGGUAUCAGAAGCCAGGCAUAGGUCUGGAUGCCGUCAAUGAUGCUGUGCUUCUGGAAGCAUGUAUCUACCACCUGUUGAAGCUCUACUGCCAGGAACAGCCCUAUUACCUGAACCUGAUUGAGCUCUUCCUGCAGAGUUCAUAUCAGACUGAGAUCGGGCAGACUCUGGACCUUAUCAGAUUUACUGAAAAGAGGUACAAAUCUAUUGUCCAGUACAAAACAGCUUUCUACUCCUUCUACCUGCCAUAGCUGCUGCCAUGUGCAUGGCAGGCGUUGAUGGGCAGAAGGAGCACAGUCAUGCGAAGAAGAUCCUGCUGGAGAUGGGCGAGUUCUUUCAGAUCCAGGAUGAUUACCUUGAUCUCUUUGGGGACCCAAGUGUGAUGGGCAAGGUUGGCACUGACAUCUAGGACAGCAAAUGCAGCUGGCUGGUGGUUCAGUGUCUGCAAUGGGCCACUCCAGAGCAGCACCAGAUAUUGUAGAAUUACAGGCAGAAGGAGGCAGAGAAGGUGGCCCGGGUGAAGGCCCUGUACGAGGAGCUGGAUCUCCCUGCUCUGUUCUUGCAGCACGAGGAGGACAGCUAUAGCUGCCUUAUGAGUCUCACCGAGCAGUUUGUGGCACCCCUGCCCCGGGCCAUCUUCCUGGAGCUAGCACACAAAAUCUAUAAGCGGCAAAAGUGACCUAGACACUGCAAGAAUGGGGAGAGGAAGCUC